rnacentral:rRNA from 1 species
UACAGAGGGUGCAAGCGUUACUCGGAAUUACUGGGCGUAAAGCGCGCGUAGGUGGUUCGUUAAGUUGGAUGUGAAAUCCCCGGGCUCAACCUGGGAACUGCAUUCAAAACUGUCGAGCUAGAGUAUGGUAGAGGGUGGUGGAAUUUCCUGUGUAGCGGUGAAAUGCGUAGAUAUAGGAAGGAACACCAGUGGCGAAGGCGACCACCUGGACUGAUACUGACACUGAGGUGCGAAAGCGUGGGGAGCAAACAGG